CCUACGGGUGGCAGCAGUAGGGAAUUUUGCGCAAUGGUCGAAAGCCUGACGCAGCAACGCCGCGUGAUCGAGACGCACUUCGGGGUGUAAAGAUCUGUCAGUGGGGACGAAAAUGGACGGUACCCACAGAGGAAGCACCGGCUAACUCCGUGCCAGCAGCCGCGGUAAUACGGGGGGUGCAGGCGUUGUCCGGAAUCAUUGGGCGGAAAGCGGUCGUAGGCGGCACGUAAAGUCUGGUGUUAAAGGCAGAGGCUCAACUUCUGUACGGCACUUGAUACUUGCGAGCUAGAUUGCGGUAGAGGUAAAGGGAAUUCCUGGUGUAGCGGUGAAAUGCUUAGAUAUCAGGAGGAACAUCGGUGGCGUAGGCGCUUUACUGGGCCGUAAUUGACGCUGAGGAACGAAAGCCAGGGUAGCAAAUGGGAUUAGAUACCCGUGUAGUC
rnacentral:rRNA from 1 species